CACGUAGUUAGCCGUCCCUUUCUGGUAAGCUACCGUCACAGUGUGAACUUUCCACUCUCACACCCGUUCUUGACUUACAACAGAGCUUUACGAUCCGAAAACCUUCUUCACUCACGCGGCGUUGCGUCGGUCAGGGUUGCCCCCAUUGCCGAAGAUUCCCUACUGCUGCCUCCCGUAGGAGUCUGGGCCGUGUCUCAGUCCCAGUGUGGCCGAUCACCCUCUCAGGUCGGCUAUGUAUCGUCGCCUAGGUGAGCCAUUACCUCACCUACUAGCUAAUACAACGCAGGUCCAUCUUGUAGUGGAGCAAUUGCCCCUUUCAAAUAAAUGACAUGUGUCAUCCAUUGUUAUGCGGUAUAGCUAUCGUUACCAAUAGUACUCCCCCGCUACAAGGCAGGUUACCUACGCGUUACUCGACCCGUUCGCUAACUCAUCCAAGAAGAGCAAGCUCUCUCUUCAGUCGUUCUACUGUCAUGUAUUAGGCCACGGCCCGCCAGGCCGUCUUCCUCG
rnacentral:rRNA from 1 species